rnacentral:rRNA from 1 species
UACCCGCAGCACAAGUGGUGGUCAUUAUUAUUGGGCCUAAAGCGUCCGUAGCUGGCCUGUUAGGUGCCUGGGUAAAUCGAUGCGCUCAACGCAUCGAACUCCGGGUAGACCGGCAGGCUUGGGACCGGGAGAGGCGUGAGCUACUCGAGGGGUAGGGGUAAAAUCCUGUAAUCCUUCGGGGGGGACCAGUGGCGAAGGCGUCACGCUAGAACGGCUCCGACAGUGAGGGACGAAGCCCUGGGGCGCAAACCGG